CACGUAGGGUGCGAGCGUUGUCCGGAAUUAUUGGGCGUAAAGAGCUCGUAGGCGGUGUGUCGCGUCGGCCGUGAAAACCUGUGGCUUAACUAUGGGCUUGCGGUCGAUACGGGCAUCACUGGAGUUCGGCAGGGGAGACUGGAAUUCCUGGUGUAGCGGUGAAAUGCGCAGAUAUCAGGAGGAACACCGGUGGCGGAGGCGGGUCUCUGGGCCGUAACUGACGCUGAGGAGCGAAAGCGUGGGGAGCGAACAGG
rnacentral:rRNA from 1 species